ensembl:rRNA 5S_rRNA 5S ribosomal RNA
GCUUAUAGCCGUACCAGCCGAGGAACGCCCAAUCUUGUCUGAUCUCGGAAGCUAAGGAGGGUUGGGCCUGGUUAGUACUUGGAUGGGAGACUGUCUGGGAAUAUCAGGUGCUGUAAGCU